rnacentral:rRNA from 1 species
GACGGAGGAUGCAAGCGUUAUUCGGAUUUACUGGGCGUACAGGGAGCGUAGGCGGUUCGGUAAGCCCUCUGUGAAAUCUUCAGGCUUAACCUGGAAAAGUCGGAGGGGACUGCCGGGCUAGAGGACGGGAGAGGAGCGCGGAAUUCCCGGUGUAGCGGUGAAAUGCGUAGAGAUCGGGAGGAAGGCCGGUGGCGAAGGCGGCGCUCUGGAACGUUUCUGACGCUGAGGCUCGAAAGCGUGGGGAGCAAACAG